rnacentral:rRNA from 1 species
GUAGGUGGCAAGCGUUGUCCCGGAAUUAUUGGGCGUAAAGCGCGCGCAGGGCGGUCCUUUAAGUCUGAUGUGAAAGCCCACGGCUCAACCGUGGAGGGUCAUUGGAAACUGGGGGACUUGAGUACAGAAGAGGAAAGCGGAAUUCCAAGUGUAGCGGUGAAAUGCGUAGAGAUUUGGAGGAACACCAGUGGCGAAGGCGGCUUUCUGGUCUGUAACUGACGCUGAGGCGCGAAAGCGUGGGGAGCAAACAGGAUUAGAUACCCUGGUAGUCCACGCCGUAAACGAUGAGUGCUAAGUGUUAGGGGGUUUCCGCCCCUUAGUGCUGCAGCUAACGCAUUAAGCACUCCGCUUGGGGAGUACGGCCGCAAAGGCUG